rnacentral:rRNA from 1 species
AUGCACGCUGGCGGCGUGCCUAAUACAUGCCCGUCGAGCGAACAGACGAGGAGCUUGCUCCUCUGACGUUAGCGGCGGACGGGUGAGUAACACGUGGAUAACCUACCUAUAAGACUGGGAUAACUUCGGGAAACCGGAGCUAAUACCGGAUAAUAUAUUGAACCGCAUGGUUCAAUAGUGAAAGACGGUUUUGCUGUCACUUAUAGAUGGAUCCGCGCCGCAUUAGCUAGUUGGUAAGGUAACGGCUUACCAAGGCGACGAUGCGUAGCCGACCUGAGAGGGUGAUCGGCCACACUGGAACUGAGACACGGUCCAGACUCCUACGGGAGGCAGCAGUAGGGAAUCUUCCGCAAUGGGCGAAAGCCUGACGGAGCAACGCCGCGUGAGUGAUGAAGGUCUUCGGAUCGUAAAACUCUGUUAUUAGGGAAGAACAAAUGUGUAAGUAACUAUGCACGUCUUGACGGUACCUAAUCAGAAAGCCACGGCUAACUACGUG